rnacentral:rRNA from 1 species
UACAGGGGGUGCAAACGUUGCUCGGAAUUAUUGGGCGUAAAGCGCGCGUAGGCGGCUACUUAAGUCGGAUGUGAAAGCCCUUGGCUCAACUGAGGAAGUGCACCCGAAACUGAGUGGCUUGAGUACUAAAGAGGGUCGCGGAAUUCCCGGUGUAGAGGUGAAAUUCGUAGAUAUCGGGAGGAACACCGGCGGCGAAGGCGGCGACCUGGGUAGAUACUGACGCUGAGGCGCGAAAGCGUGGGGAGCAAACAGG